CCUCAAGGUCACCUGAUCCAGCAGCCUUGAA
rnacentral:piRNA from 1 species